GUCUAAGUUACUGUGAGGUCUCGUGUGCCAUGACAGGGGUAGGGCUGGAUGGUAUUUGAUAUAGGUUAGGUUAGGGGCACGAUAGGUAAGGUUAGGUAAGGUUAGGUAAGGUUAGGUUUGGUAUAGGUUAGGUUAGGUUAGGUUAGGUAAGGUUAGGUAAGGUUAGGUUUGGUAUAGCUUAGGUUAGGUAAGGUUAGGUUAGAUUAGGGUGCUUUUGGUAUAGGUUAGGUUAGGUUAGGUUAGGUUAGGUUAGGUUAGGGUAGGGUACGUUAGGUUAGGUUAGGUAAGAUAAGGUAAGGUUAGGUUAGGUUAGGUUAGGGUGCGUUUGGUAUAGAUUAGGUUAGGUUAGGUAAGGUUAGGGUACGUUAGAUUGGGUUAGGUAAGAUAAGGUAAGGUUAGGUUAGGUUAGGUUAGGGUAGGGUACGUUAGGAUAGGUUAGGUAAGGUUAAGUUAGAUUAGGGUACGUUUGGUAUAGGUUAAGUUAGGUCAGGUUAUGUAGGUUAGGUAAGGGUAGGGUACGUCAGGUUGGGUUAGGUAAGGUUUGGUAUAGGUUAGGUUAUGUAGGUUAGGUUAGGGUAGGGUAGGGCAGGUUGGGUUAGGUAAGGUUUGGUAUAGGUUAGGUUAUGUAGGUUAGGUAAGGGUAGGGUACGUCAGGUUGGGUUAGGUAAGGUUUGGUAUAGGUUAGGUUAUGUAGGUUAGGUUAGGGUAGGGUAGGGCCCCUUGUCGGCUGGUUGUGGGGGGCGAGGGAAGCUUAGGAGAGGAUUGGUGAAGCAGUGAAUCGUAGGUACAGAUAGAGAAGAGAGAAGAGGAUGGAUAGAUAGAUAGAAAGAUAGACUGAUAGCAAAGAAAACGGGAAACGGUGAACAGCUAACACGGUAGACUUAAAUAAAAUCAAUGACGGCAGUACGUAUAAGGAACCAAGCAAAUAGACAAGGAUAGAUAGAUAGAUAACAACAACAAAUAGACAACGAGGCUUCAGUUAUUCCAAAAGAACUCCACAAGAACAGAAUAUCACAGUUUAAGGCUGGAUUAACGAGCACUUGAAAUGACUACAGGUAGGAGCGAAUGUUGGAGUUUGGGGAGAUGAUGGACCGAGGUGACAGCUUGGUGGAGAGUUACAGAGGGUCACAGUGGAUGGGGAAGGAAGUGGAGAGGUGGCGGAGGUGGUGGAGUUGGUGGUACUGUGUUUUGCUAGCUGGUGGAGUGAACUGGCAGCUUGGUGGAGCGUUACAGAGGGUUACAGUGGAACGGGAAGGUAGUGGAGAGGUGGAGGAGGUCAGGGUGGGUUUGGUAGAUGGUGGAGGUGGUGGAGGUACGGUGUG